CAAGCUCACCUGGAAAAAGGCACCAUGUGAUUUCGAAUAUGUGGGGAAGAUGAUGCAUGGUCCGGUCAAGGCCGUUGGGGGGAGAGGUGGUCUGGUCCUGUCACGGCCUCAGUAGUACACCACGUUAUGUCUUCUGUAUGAAGAAAUCACACGGUUUAAUGAUUUUUUAAUGGAAAACUAAUAUGCAGCCAUGUUCGCGAUUCUUGCAUACUUUGUUCGCGUCUGGUUGUUUCUGCUCUUAAUGUGCUAAGAUGCCUUGGCUUGAGAGAUGGUUCAGGAUAAUAAAUUUCCAUGGAUUCUUCAGCGGAUCCUGCAGUUGGCAAGCCCUCUAGUAACCUCCAAGCCAAGUGCCGCAGAGCAUGCACGAAAUAUAGAUGCCAUUGUCAUCUACCAUGCAGUGUACAUCCUAGAUUUCUGGUAUCAGAGCUGUACAUGAUCGCCUUCACAUUCUUCCAGUUACCAUGAACUUAUGUCGGCCAGAAAACUGUAAAAUUCUUCUGCUCACCUCAUGUUUUGAAGCCCUAGCCAGCAGCUGAAAUCUUCACGUCAGCCACACGGCACAUGGAAUCCUCAACCAGUAUUUAGCGGAUAUGUUCGCUGGUGGCAUGCAAGUAUACGUCCUCGAUCCAUUCCAAAAGCAUUAAUGACGGUUCAGAAGCACGAUGCGUGACAAAGGGAGGCCAUUAACUAAAUAUCUGUAGCUUUUGCGUGAUGCCAAGUAUCACGGGGCACUCUGAUUUCACGUGGCCGAUACUUUCGUGGUUGUUCCGCAACUUGGUCGAAAUGGGGUUAUGCAAUCUUAGUGUCUGAUCAGUUGGUAAACGUCUGAGAAUUAAGCAAACAAUUUCCAAACUCUAAAAAACUAGCAAUUCUUUUACCAAUUCCUUUUGGUGAACUAUCAUGGAAACUACUCAUUUCACGUGUAUCGUCUUUCUCGAUUUCUUGCCUGUUUUUUUUUCUGUCUGAUCAUGAAGUGUGAACCUGGGGUGUUUAGAUUGUACAUUUCAAAAGCCUGGUGACAUGUGACACCACUAAAAGAGUUGGGGAGAGAAAGAGGGAGAGAUACAGAGAGAGAGAUGUCUGAAAUGGAUCUAGAAAGAAGAUAACAAUGGAUGGUUUCCGUUUUCCUAUGGUAAUCGAAUUCUCUUUCUUUCGCUCUCA